rnacentral:rRNA from 1 species
UACGUAGGGGGCGAGCGUUGUCCGGAUUUAUUGGGCGUAAAGAGCGUGUAGGUGGCCAGGUAGGUCUGCUGUGAAAACUCGAGGCUCAACCUCGAGACGUCGGCGGAAACCAUCUGGCUAGAGUCCGGAAGAGGGUAGUGGAAUUCCCGGUGUAGCAGUGAAAUGCGUAGAGAUCGGGAGGAACAUCCAUGGCGAAGGCAGCUACCUGGACCAACACUGACACUGAGGCACGAAAGCGUGGGGAGCAAACAGG